rnacentral:tRNA from 1 species
GCUCCCGUAGCUCAGCUGGAUAGAGCACUUCCCUCCUAAGGAAGGGGUCGUGCGUUCGAAUCGCGCCGGGGGCA